UGGGGAAUUUUGCACAAUGGGGGAAACCCUGAUGCAGCGACGCCGCGUGAUUUAGAAGGCCUUCGGGUUGUAAAAAUCUUUUUUACGGGAUGAAAAUGACAGUACCGUAAGAAUAAGGUCCGGCUAAAUACGUACCAGCAGCCGCGGUAAUACGUAUGGACCGAGCGUUGUCCGGAAUCAUUGGGCGUAAAGGGUACGUAGGCGGCCUAGUAAGUUAGAAGUGAAAUAAUAUAGCCCAACUAUAUAAAGCUUUUAAAACUGCUAGGCUUGAGAGAUGGAAGGGAAAGUGGAAUUCCUAGUGUAGCGGUGAAAUGCGCAGAUAUUAGGAAGAAUACCGGUGGCGAAGGCGACUUUCUGGUCAUCAUCUGACGCUGAGGUACGAAAGCGUGGGUAGCAAACAGG
rnacentral:rRNA from 1 species